CAGCUAAUUGCGCGUCAACUUGUGAACUGCAGGACACAUGAACAUCGACAUUUCGAACGCACAUUGCGGUCCACGGAUACAAUUCCCGGACCACGCCUGGCUGAGGGU
rnacentral:rRNA from 1 species